GUGGGGAAUUUUGGACAAUGGGCGAAAGCCUGAUCCAGCCAUUCCGCGUGAGUGAAGAAGGCCUUCGGGUUGUAAAGCUCUUUCGGCAGGAACGAAAAGGUUUCGGCGAAUACCUGGAACUGAUGACGGUACCUGAAGAAGAAGCACCGGCUAACUACGUGCCAGCAGCCGCGGUAAUACGUAGGGUGCGAGCGUUAAUCGGAAUUACUGGGCGUAAAGCGUGCGCAGGUGGUUGUUUAAGACAGAUGUGAAAUCCCCGGGCUCAACCUGGGAACUGCGUUUGUGACUGGACAGCUAGAGUAUGGCAGAGGGGGGUGGAAUUCCACGUGUAGCAGUGAAAUGCGUAGAGAUGUGGAGGAACACCGAUGGCGAAGGCAGCCCCCUGGGCCAAUACUGACGCUCAUGCACGAAAGCGUGGGGAGCAAACAGGAUUAGAAACCCGUGUAGUCC
rnacentral:rRNA from 1 species